GAGUGCUUGCUUCAUUCGGACAUACUAAAAUGAACAAUACAAAGAAGAUUGCAUGGCGCCUGUGCAAGAAUGACAUGCAAAUUUAUGAAGUGUCCUGUAUCUUU